UCCCUCACUCAAAAUCAGCUCUUCACCAACUUCCUAGACACUGCCAAGAAUCCUGAGAUUUUUGAUUGGAUGCUCACAGUCAGAAGGAAGAUACAUCAGUUUCCGGAAUUGGCCUAUAAAGAAUUUCAGACCAGUGAACGAAUAAGAGGGGAAUUGGAUAAGUUGGACAUCUCUUAUAUACACCCAGUUGCAGUCACCGGCGUUAUUGGCUACAUAGGAACUGGAAAAUCACCUUUUGUUGCAAUAAGAGCUGAUAUGGAUGCUCUUCCCAUACAGGUAGUAUUGAAGUUUUAUCUUUUGAUUUCUUAUGAGAUGGAUUAUUGAGACAACAAAGAGUAUCGUUUUCCCUUUAAUUUCCUAAAUUUUUUGUUGAAAUUAAUUAACAAUGCAUAUAUAAUCCUCAGGAAUUGGUGGAGUGGGAGUUCAAGAGUCAAGUACCUGGAAAGAUGCACGCUUGUGGUCAUGAUGCUCACACUACCAUGCUUCUUGGUGCUGCAAAAAUUCUCAAACAACACGAACAAGAGAUACAAGUUAGGCCUUUUAUAAUGUUUAGUGUAGCUAAUUUGUUUUCCAUUUCCUUUCUGUGAUCUGUUAUGUUCUGCUUUAUUUUUCCCUGAUAAAUUGGUUACUUUGCUGUCUAAACAGGGAACUGUUGUUCUUGUUUUCCAACCAGCAGAGGAAGGAAGUGCAGGGGCUAAGAAAAUUGUUGAAUCUGGAGCAUUGGAAAAUGUUAGUGCUAUCUUUGGACUUCAUGUGGCACCUACGACUCCAGUAGGUGAAUCUGGAGCAUUGGAAAAUGUUAGUCCUAUGAUGGCAGGAGCUGGUACCUUUGAAGCAAAAAUAAUUGGAAAGGGAGGUCAUGCUGCUAUUCCUCAUACUUCUAUUGACCCUGUUUUGGCAGCUUCUAAUGUGAUUGUUAGCUUACAAUAUCUAGUUUCUCGCGAGGCUGAUCCUUUGGACUCCCAGGUAAUUUCUGUUUUUUAUUAAGAAAUCUCACAUUGAUUAAAGAUAUGACUGAUAACUGUUUAUAAUAAACAAGCUUAAGUCUCUUAAAUUUUUAAGUUCGUUUGCCAUGGCUACUCAUGGUUCACACUUAUUUACAUAUAUAGGUUGUGACAGUUUCAAAGUUUCAAGGAGGUGAUGCAUUCAAUGUGAUUCCAGAUUAUGUCACAAUUGGAGGAACAUUUAGAGCUUUUUCCAGAGAAAGCUUGGAGCACCUGAAACAACGCAUUGAGCAGGUUAUCAUUGCACAAGCUUCUGUGCUGAGGUGCAACGCGAGUGUGAGCUUUCUUGAAGAAGUGAACCCUUUAUAUCCUCCAACUAUAAAUGAUGGUGACUUGCACGAGCAGUUUCGCGAUGUCGCGGUGAAUUUGCUCGGUGCUGAUAAGGUUCACUUUGACAUGCCGCUGGUCACAGCUUCUGAAGAUUUUGCCUUCUAUCAAGAGGCUCUUCCUGGCUACUUCUUUGUCCUUGGAAUGCAGAAGGAUCAUCGGACUGAUUCGCUGCACUCGUCGUAUCUCAUGAUCAAUGAAGAAGGGCUUCCUUAUGGAGCUGCACUUCAUGCAUCGUUAGCUGUUAACUAUCUUCAAAAAUAUCAGCAAGGGGAAGAGAAAAUAAAUGAAUGGUAACUGUUGUUAGACAUUAUAGACCCUUUUGGUUGCACGUUUCGUUUUUCAUUAAGUACGUUUAUGCCACUUUUUUUGUGAAGAAAAAAUGUUUUAGGACGUGAUAUCUAAUUUUUCCUUUUUCAUGUUUUUUGAUUAGUAAUCAGACGAGGCCUACAUAAUAAGUUCGGAUUUCCCCUUGGAAAAUGUUAUUCCUGUCCUGUCGUAAUCUAGUUCUUAAUUUUACACAUGAUUUCAAUGCACAUGACAAUAAUUCUUCAUUCGCACUUAUUUAUGUUCGUACAAAUUCACGAUCUUAAAUAUCAUUGCUUCACUUAAAAAGAAUUUAAGUUAUUAACAUGGGAUUUAAAAAACUCAUUAGAAAAUGAGCUGUUGAUCAAGAAUAUUGUUUUCUUCACACACUAAAGUUAAGACCAAAAUGAUAAUGAUAGAAAUAGAAAAUUAGAUUUAGUGUGAAUUAAUAAAACCCCUCAAUGAAACACUUAUGAGAUACAAACAAAUCUUAAAUAGUUAUAGGGGGAAGAGAAUGAAAGAGGAAGAGAAGAGAAGGGAGGGGGAAGGGUAGCUCACGUGGUGAACUUAGGAAAAAAAGAAGAGAAGGGAGGUCCCUUGUUUGAAAGUUUAAAAUUCCACAAAACCCCUAGAAACUUCACAAAAUAAAUAAAUGAAAGUUUUGUAAAAAAAAAUUCUCCAAACUUUUCCCUAUUUUUAAAAGGAUAAAUUUUAGUUCAGUCUAAUCUUUUAAAUGUAGGAAUUGAUUCCUGAAUCUUUUCCCUCCUCUCUUAUUACUUAUUAAGUCAUCAUUUGGAGAUCUAAUUGUACAAAAAAGAGUAAAAACUUUACACAUAAAAUGUGCCUAAAUUUUCUACUUUUAAACAACUAAACCUCCUAUUUUCCUAAACUGAAUUGAAUUGUGCCUAAGUUUUGGAAAUGUAUUUCAAAAUGUCAGGAAAAUUAACACACAUUUUCCUUCCCUCUGUAAAAUAACUUUGCCUACGGAGUGGGACCUGCCGCAAUCUUCUAUGAAAAGAAACUCACGACCCUUUCACUUUCACUCUGUACAUUCUGGUUACUCGCUGUUAACAAACCAUGGCUUCCUUCAAAUGCUUCCAUUUUUUCAUCAUCACUUUGCAAGUUUUUGCUGCAAUACCCAUUUUCUCAUUAGCAGAUUCCUCCUUCACACAAAAUCAGCUCUUCACAAAGUUCCUAGACACUGCCAAGAAACCUGAGCUUUUUGAUUGGAUGCUCACUAUCAGAAGGAAGAUACACCAGUUUCCUGAAUUGGCCUAUCAAGAAUUUCAAACCAGUGAAGUCAUAAGAGCAGAAUUGGAUAAGUUGGGGAUCCCCUAUAAACACCCUGUUGCAGAAACUGGUGUUAUUGGCUUCAUAGGGUCUGGAAAGUCACCUUUUGUUGCCUUAAGAGCUGAUAUAGAUGCUCUUCCCAUGCAAGUAGGUUUCAUAAAUUCUAUUUACCUUUUUUCUUGAUAAAGAUGGGUUGACUUUUUUUUUUCAGAAAUUUAGAAUCAGGGUUUUGACUUUUGAUUUCUGAAAUUUUUAUGGGUUGGUUCAGUUCUAGCUAUCUGGAGGUGAGAUAACAAAGAUUAUUGUUUUCUCUUUCCUCAAAUUUUAUUGACAUUUGACAAUGUUUUUAUAAACCAUAGGAAAUGGUGGAGUGGGAGCACAUGAGUCAAGUAGAUGGAAAGAUGCAUGCUUGUGGUCAUGAUGCUCAUACUACAAUGCUUCUUGGUGCUGCUAAGAUUCUCAAACAGCAUGAAAAUGAGAUUAAGGUGUGACCUUUUAUACUGCCUUCUCUGUUUCUAUUUUGAGUUUUUUUUUUAGAUACUACUCUUCCCACAUGUGGUCACUGGUCCCUACUGUCUGGUCCUUUUGAUGAUUUAUUUACCUUUUUCUCUAAAGAAAACUGCAUUUAUGUCAAACCUAAGUACCUUUUUGGUUUCUGUCAUUUCAGAAAAUUGAUGCCAAAUUAUUCCAUCAUGUAAAUUUGUUUUUUUGGUAAAUUACAAGCUUUCUGCCAUCUAUCAUGCACCUUAAUAAAUCUGUUCUGUCUAUUGUAAUACAAUCUUGAUCUUGAAGUUGCCCCCUUAACAUUUUGUUAUACCAGAACAAUCAUCAUCCUCCCAUGGAUCCUUGAUAAGUUGGUUACUUUGCUGUCUAAAUAGGGAACUGUUGUUCUUGUUUUCCAACCAGCAGAGGAAGGAGCUGCAGGGGCUAAGAAAAUUGUUGAAUCUGGAGCCUUGGAAAAUGUAUCUGCUAUCUUUGGAUUGCAUGUGCUACCUACGCUUCCAGUAGGUGAAGUGGCUUCUAGAUCUGGUCCUUUAAUGGCAGGGUCUGGUCGGUUUGAAGCAAUUAUCAAUGGAAAGGGAGGUCAUGCAGCUAUUCCUCAUACUGCUGUUGACCCGAUUUUGGCGGCUUCGAAUGUAGUUAUUAGCUUACAAUACCUUGUUUCUCGCGAGGCUGAUCCUUUGGACUCCCAGGUAAAUUUAGUUCAUUCUUAGUUUUCCAUUGUUUGCCAUGGCCACUCAUUUACUUGUUUAUGUCCAAAAUCCUCCUUGUCUUCUUCACAUAGGUUGUGACGGUUGCAAAGUUUCAAGCUGGGAGUGCAUUCAAUGUUAUUCCAGAUUAUGUCACAAUUGAUGGAACCUUUAGAGCUUUUACCACAGAAAGCUUGGAGUACCUGAGACACCGCAUUGAGCAGGUAUGUCAUGUAGAAGAAUAGAUUCAUUCUGCUAGCAUAAAUUGAUUUCUGAAAUUAAUGAUGAUCUUUUCUAUACUAUACAUCAUCACCAUACAACAAUCUUUUUUCUUUAUCUUUUUUCUCGUUGUUAAAUUAUCUGAUGGCUUGAAUAUGCAUGAUUUUGCCAAACUCAAUUGUUACGGAAAACUAUAAGUAAUGCUAUCUUUCACAGGAUCAACUAUAAGCUUUUAUGAGUUUAUGUUGCAACAAAAAAAAUGUUUACACUUGUACUGUAAUUUCACUGCAAUCUUGAUAGGGGCUAAGAAAUGGUACAUUUACACAGGUUAUCGUUGGACAAGCAGCUGUGCAGAGGUGCAAUGCAACUGUCAACUUCCAUGAUGAAGUGAAUCCUUCCUAUCCUCCAACUAUAAAUGAUGAUGGCUUGCACGAGCAGUUUCGAGAUGUUGCGGUGAAUUUGCUCGGUGCAGAUAAAGUUCACAUUGACAUGCCGCCAAUGACGGCUUCUGAAGACUUCUCAUACUAUCAAAAGGUCAUGUCUGGCUACUUCUUUUUUCUUGGGAUUCAGAAGGAUCACCGGCCUCAUUUUUUGCACUCACCGUAUCUCAUGAUCGAUGAAGAAGGUCUUCCUUAUGGAGCUGCACUUCAUGCCUCAUUAGCUAUUAAUUAUCUUCAAAAACAUCAGCAACAAGGACCAACGGGGGAAGGGAAAUUUCGUGAUGAGUUAUAGUUGUUAUUAACCAUUUUAAGCUUCCAGCCUUAAGGGAAUUAUAAGUUAGAAUUUCCACUUGGAAAAUGUUACUGCUAUCUUGAUGUAAUUCCUUUCUUCAUAGUACACGUAACUUCAACUUGAAUAACAAUAAAUUUUCAUUCACACCUAUUUAGGUACAAAUUUAACUGAUGAGCAAUGUGACAUUAGAUAGGAAUUUUGUGGAUUAUUAAAUCUAGCAGCUUAUGAGUUUGAUGUGUUUCAAUGACCAGGUAUAGUUGCCAACUUGGGUUGGCACAACCGAUUACCGGUUCAGGGUUUAACUCUCGUCUCCCCAUAGGUCGAGGAUUCAAAUCCCCCUGGAUUCAGUAAAAUCCUAGUUGGUGGGCAAUUCUCCUCGAAGAGAUCCCCCGGCGCUCCUACAUGGGAGUGGCCCUUUGUUGGCCUCCUCAGCAUGUCAUUGACGCCAUAUCCGAUAUCUGAAGGUAUUAUCUCUCCGUUCUAUCAUUCUUUGUAUAUAAAAAAAAAUAAAAAUAACAAGUUUACAAUUCUUAAAUUUCCUGUUGUUUUAUAUAUUGCUAGUCUAAGUAUAUUUUCUUUUUGAUAUUCCUUCAUAUUCUUUUGAGGCAGUUAAUAAUGUCAUUUCGUUCAACCAUUCUACUAAUAUUUCUCUUCUAUUUUUUACAGUCUAAAUUUAGUAUGUUUCUAUAUUUUACUACUAACCUCUUAUAUGGUGUUCUAUAUGGUUCUUUUUUAUAAUCAUAAUUACGUUAAAUUUCACUAAAAUUUCUUUUCUUAGUUGAAGUUUCUCCUUCUUCACACAAAUGGAGGUUUUGGAGCCAUAUAAUGAAUUGUCAUAACCAGAAUCACAAAACUGCAUAAUGGUUCACGUUCUUUCUAUCUUGGACAGAACCACAUAUUUGAUGGGAAAUAAGCAGGGGCUGGAACUUGUUGGAAUUGUGCCUUUUAAUUAGGGGCGGAGCCACAAGGGUGGCUUACCGGUGCUCCGCGCCCCCGAGUCUUUUCGAUAUUCAUUUCGAAACUAUGUAUAUUUUUCUUCUAGCACCGGUGAUAAUUAAUAUAAUUUUCAACGUAGAAUAGAUCAUGUAACGCACAAUGGCGUAGCGGUUUGCACAUGAAAGGAUUUUCUACAUGUCGUGGGUUCGAAUAAAUGAUAGGACUAGGAAUCGAACCUCCUACUCCUAGGCUAAAAGUUUCAUAGGCAUGUUUUCCACUAUGCUGGAAGAAGUUUAUCCUUAUAUUUGAAAAUUUUAUAUAUUUAUACACAAACAUAAUAUCAUAAUUGGACACUUUCUCAUCUCAAUUCAUUUACACAUAUUUUUUUUUGAAGAAUUUACUAACAACUAACCACUAACAUUUGCCUAUAAAAAAAUAUCAAAUCAUUUUGAUUAUUGUUUGAUAAAAUUAUGUUUAAUAUAAUGAAGUUUGAUAAAAUAAAGGAUAAAAAAUUAAAUUUGUAAGAUAUUAAUUAUACGUAAAAGUAAGUUCAAAAAUAAACAUUGUUUAGAUAAAAGAAAACAAAAUUAAUUUUUUAUUUGAUAUUUAGUCACCCCGGUGUCAAAAUCCUGGCUCCGCCCCUGCUUUUAAUGUUUUGUUUAGUUUCUGUUGGGUAGCUCUAGUUUAUCCUGUAAUGAAUUUCUUGUACAAACUCCAUUGUAAUAUGGGUUAGGAAUCUCUUGUGCUUACUUAUAUUCAUUUGGCUUACAAAAGAAAAUACCAACUAGGUAGCCAUAUCUUGUUAGUUGCCCUCUCCGUGCACUGAUUAUUUCAUCUAGCGAAUAGACUUCUUCUCUUGAAAUUAAAACUACUAGGUGUAUGAGAAACCUAGGUCGUUACCUCCGCUAACAGUUACGACAAUGAUUCCCAAAAUAUGCUUUGAAAUUUAUACUCAAACACAUAUCAAAAGACUCAGUCCUCAAAUUUCCAAUACUAGUCAAACUAUUUUAAAACAACAUUCUCACUCUCACAUCAUUCAAAAUUCAACAAUUGUAAGUAUAGACAUGCUCAAAAUCAAUUAAAUAAAAUUCAAAGCUUUGAAGAGAUUCGUGAAUGAUAAAACAAUACAAAAGCGACUGUAUUAGAGUAAAAAAUUAGCGUCAGACUUGACGCCGAUGUUAACUUUUUCUCUUUAGUGUCAGCUAAACUGACGUUAAACAUCAAUUUAAAAUUAUAUUCUACUUAAUGAUAGAGUCGUCCAAACUGACGACGCUACUUAGCGGCGACUCACCGACCAUUAACGCCGUUUAUAUCCACCGCUAAAAUCAACAACCAAUUUAGCGCCUUCCCGCCGUCCAUUAGGAGCGAUUCUUAACUGAUGCUAAAUUCAUCAGCCAACUUAGUGUCAGUUAUGACUAACACUAGCAUGAAGUGGAUCCGACCCAUCUCUUGGUCAUAUAAGUUAGUGUCACCUUUGCAUUUCGUUUGAUUGAGAAGAGAAAUAAAAAAGAGAGAAGAUGAAUAAAAAUAAAGUAGAUCUUUCAAAUUGUUUAGUGUGAUAUAAAGCGAAGAGAAAGAAUGUGGUGAAGAAAUGAGAAAUAAAAUAAAAAAAGAAUUUUUAUCUUAAAAAUAUUUAUGGCUGUCAAAAACACCAUUUACACCAUUUUUGUUCUAGCAUUUAUGACCUCAAGUAUAUGGUAAUUCUGAAAAGGACAAAAAAAGCUCUCUGUCCCUUCUCCUCCCAAAAUGGUAGUGAGAUCCAUCUUCCAACCUCCCCCUUCCCCCUCUCUUUCUCCCUCAUCAAACAAAGUUGCUUCUCUUUUCUAUUAUUAUGUAACUCUAUCAUCUUUCUCUCUUCACAAACUAACUUAUAGCGGAACCACCCCCAAGGUGUGAACGACCAUAUCCAUUUUUUUUAUAAGCUUUAUACAAGAUAUGGUUAGUCUCAUAUUGGUGUAUUGCAAAUGAGAGAAAACCCACUCCAAAGCUGACCCACCUAAUGUGAUGUUGUGACAUGGAAUGUUUUUUUAUGUUACAAGAGGAAAGAAUUGUGAGAUUGGAAUAUAAUGGCUUUAACUUUAAUGGGUGAUGAUUGUAUUUAGAAAUAGAAAAACAAAAUCUAGAGAUGUCCUGUAGGGUUGGGACCUACCGCACUACUAUUCUAUUGAAACCUUUCUGGCCUGUCACUGUAGUGGUCAUUCCGGUUUCUGACUUUAUUCUUCAUUUCAUUCAUUCUCUCCUACUUCCACACCAAAAUUAACAAGCCAUGGCUUUCUUCAAAGGCUUCCAUUUUUUCAUCAUCAUUUUGCAAGUCUUUGCUGCAAUAUCCAUUUUCUCAUUAGCAGCUUCCUCCUUCACCCAAAAUAAGCUCUUCACAAACUUCCUAGACUAUGCUAAGAAGCCUGAGCUUUUUGAUUGGAUGCUCACAGUCAGAAGGAAGAUACAUCAGUUUCCUGAAUUGGCCUAUCAAGAAUUUCAAACCAGUGAAGUAAUAAGAGGGGAAUUGGAUAAGUUGGGGAUCCCCUAUAAACACCCUGUUGCAGAAACUGGUGUUAUUGGCUUCAUAGGGUCUGGAAAGCCACCUUUUGUUGCUUUAAGAGCUGAUAUAGAUGCUCUUCCUAUGCAGGUAGCUUUGAUAAAUUCUAUUUCUAUUUACCCUUUUCUUGAUAUAUAUGCUUCAAGUUGAAUCAGGGUUUUGACUUUGAUUUCUUGAAUUUUUUAUAGGUAAAAAAUAUUGUUUACCCUUUCCUCAAAUUUUAUUGACAUUUGAUAAUGUAUAAACCCCAGGAAAUGGUGGAGUGGGAGCACAUGAGUAAAGUACCUGGAAAGAUGCACGCUUGUGGUCAUGAUGCUCAUAUUACCAUGCUUCUUGGUGCUGCAAAGAUUCUCAAACAAGAAAAAGAGAUAAAAGUGUGACCUUUUAUACCGCCUUCUUUGUUUCCGAUAAAUUUCUGUAUGUUCUGUUUUAUUUUUCCUGCUCAUACUACUAUGUUUAUAUGUGUGCUGUUUUAUUUUUCCUCGGAUACUAACUGUCACUGACUCACUCACUGGUCCCUACUAUCAGGCCCUUUUGAUGAUUUCAUGCAUUUUCUCAUAAAAAGAAAAUAUUAUUGCAUAAUUACAACUUACAAGUCAGUCAAAGCCAAAUAUCUUUGAAAAAUUGAUGACAAAUUAUCCAUCUUGUCAUUUUUUCUUUGAAAAUCACAAACAUUAUGUAAUCUGUCAUACACCUUAUUUAAUCUGAUUUUUAAUCAUCCUACGUUCUUUUUAUUGUAAUACAAUCUAGAAUUAACGAAAGAAGUUGGCCCCCAUAUCAUUAGUGCUACUUUUUAUCUGAACUGUGUUAUUCUGCUCAUCUGCUGUCUUCAUCCUGUCAUGGACCCCUGAUAAGUUGGUUAUUUGCUGUCUAAACAGGGAACUGUUGUUCUAGUUUUCCAACCAGCAGAGGAAGGAGGUGCAGGGGCUAAGAAAAUUUUAGAUUCUGGAGCCUUGGAAAAUGUAUCUGCUAUCUUUGGAUUGCAUGUGUUACCUACGCUUCCAGUAGGUGAAGUUGGCUCCAGGUCUGGUCCUAUAAUGGCAGGAUCUGGUCGCUUUGAAGCAAAAAUAAGUGGAAGGGGAGGUCAUGCAGCUAUUCCUCAACAUUCUAUAGAUCCCAUAUUGGCAGCUUCUAAUGUAAUUAUUAGCUUACAACACCUUGUUUCUCGUGAGGCUGAUCCUUUGGACUCUCAGGUAAAUUUGGUUAAUUCUUCAUUUUCCCUUGUUUGUCAUGGUCACUCAUUACACUUACCUUUGUAUGAAAUUCUGAAUCCAUAACUAUGUAUGGACAUCAGAAAGCACAGGUACUAGGAAAAUAUUGGCACAGACCUUCACCUGCUUUAUCUACAUAAACUGACUUAUUAGAGCUUUUCAACUGUAGAUAUAAUUUGAUUCAACCUUGGUUCCAAGGAUCGUUGUUAUUUAAUAUGCUAAGAUUAAGAAUGCUACUGCAUUCCUUUUAAAAAACUAAGUGGUUAGCUAGGCUGCAAAGUUGAACCUGAUGGGCCUCCAUAUAGAGUUGAGAACCAUUCUGUUAUUUGCAAGUCCAAGCCAUUUAGUAAGUCCUGCUAAGUUUCUGGAUCACAAGGGAAUGGAUGUGGAAAAUAUGACCUGAGGGAGUGGGGGGAAGCUUUUAGUACCCCAGCUAGUGAAAAAGAUGAUAUAGAGGAACCCAAUUACAAAACAAACUUUUAGUGACAACUGAGGAAUAUGGGACCUUCAGUGUGUGUGUGUGUGUGAACUUUUUUAUAUGUGAUAUUUUAAAAAGAUGAAAUGCUUGUUUCCUAAAGGCUUGUUUAUGCAAAAAACAUCCUUGACUUCCUUACAUAAACUAUGCCCUGUAGGUUGUGACUGUUGCAAAGUUUCAAGGAGGUGGUGCAUUUAAUGUUAUUCCAGAUUAUGUCACAAUUGGUGGAACCUUCAGAGCUUUUUCCACAGAAAGCUUUGGGUACCUGAAACAGCGCAUUGAGCAGGUAUGCCAUGGAGAAGAAUAGAUUCAUAAACUGAAAUCUGAAAUUAUUGAUCUUUUCUAUAAUAAUCUUUAUUUUGGUUGUUAAACCUGAUGGCUUGGUUAUGAUUGUGUUAAACACCACAGAGGAUGUGACAUCAUGAAUAACUUGUUAGCUUACUAUACGUCAAACUUAACUUUUAUUUAUAAGUAACGCUAUAUUGCAUAGGAUCAACUAUAAGCUUAAAUAUUUGUAUAGGUAUAGUCAAGGAAAAUUGAGUGCAGCACUAUAAUAUCAUGAAUUUGUAUCUUAAUUAUUACUUCAUUCAGUCAUUAUUAGAUGAACUAAAUUUAUUAUAAUCAACUUGAAGUUUUGGUGCAUUAAAUUUUUUUUUUUUGACAAGAAUACUCUUACUUAGUUGAAGUUUCUCUCUAUUUCCACUCUCAAAUCUAACACAUUAAUGAUGAAUAGAAAUUAAGAAAAGUGGGUUAUGACUUAUGAGUAAUUUUGAAAAGUUGAUCUAAAUUGAGAACAAAUUUAAUGCUACCAACUACAUUUCUUAAGGUGUGUGACCGUGUAAGGUAGUUAUUUGGUUCAUAUAAUAAGGAGGGGGGUAUCAUAUAUAAAAUCAGGGCACUUAACUGAGAUUAGAAACAUAGCACACACAAACUACAGGAACUAUACUCUGAGGCAAUUUUUCUCUGGUGCAUCACGCAUAAAAGCCAAGCCAACUCAAAUGGGCCCAAAAUCUACUAGAUCUUUAUCCUUUUGUUGCCUUGUGUCCUGCUUGUUGCAAAUAGCAUGUUAACUUAUGGAAUGGAAAUACUACAUACAUUUACAUUUCUGAUCUUUCACUGCAAACUUGGUAGGGGCUAUAAGAAUAUUGGCUCAUUUAUGCAGGUUAUCAUUGGACAAGCUGCUGUGCAGAGGUGCAAUGCAACUGUCAACUUCUUUGGUGAAGUGUAUCCUCCCUAUCCUCCAACCAUAAAUGAUGGUGGCUUGCAUGAGCAAUUUCGUUAUGUUGCGAUAAAUUUGCUCGGUAUUGAUAAAGCUCACAUUGACAUGCCACCGAUGACAGCUGCUGAAGACUUUUCGUUCUAUCAAAAGGUGAUGCCUGGCUACUUCUUUUUUCUUGGAAUGCAGAAGGAUCACCGGGAUCAUUUUUUGCACUCACCGUAUCUCAUGAUCGAUGAAGAAGGACUUCCUUAUGGAGCUGCACUUCAUGCAUCAUUAGCUAUUAAUUAUCUUCAAAAAUAUCACCAAGACAGACCCAUGGAAGAAGGGAAAAAUCGUGAUGAAUUAUAACUGUUUUUAAUCAUUGUAAGCUUCCAGCCUUGUAUUGUAUAUUAAGUUAGAAUUUCCACUCGUAGAACGAUAAUCUUUUGCUGUUAUCACUUUCUUCACUGGACACGUGAGUUCAACGUGAAUAAAUAGCUUUCUUUUCUCUAGUACUCUGAAAUUGAUUACUUCCUCUUUUUAUAUCUGUCAAUUUUUACAGUUUUGACACAUAUUACCAACAAGAUUAAUGUUCUUUAGAGUUGGCAGAACUGUGCUGUGCAUUCUCAUACCACAUUUGGAGGGUAAGGAAUAGGCUGUACUUUGAGGGAAAGGAGACCCCGAAAGUUGUUUAAGCUCAUCAACUCGGGCAAUAGGUGCGUUUCAGCUUUAUGGAAGUUUUGAUUUAUCAAGAUUUAUCUUUUGCCCAGAUGCUACCGCAUAGGUUUGUUGGAUAUUUAAGAUGGAUAUGCUUCUUGGAUUCUUUCCCUGCAAAAAUUAUGUUGUCAUAUGCCAAUAGCAAAUGUAAUACCACCGGAGCUCGUGGAGCUACUCGAAUGCCAUGAAUAGAUUUUGCCACUAUUGCCUCUUCUGGACUUCAAUUAAUCAUAAUUGAAAAGGAAACAAAAGUUACACAACCCAUAACUAGACUAAUCCAAGAUGGAGGAAAGCCAAAUUAAGUAAGGGUGCUUUCCAUAAAAUGUCAUUCAACGCAAUCGUAAGUUUUAAACAUGUCAAGCUUUAAAGCCAUAUGUAUUUCCUACAACCCGCCCCUUAUUUUUCUUUUUUAUAAAGUGAAAGCAUUCAAACUCUACUAAAACAUUAUCUAUAAUGAGCCUAUUAUUAGGUACAAAAACUCUUUGAUUUUCAAUAAUAGACGGUAAAAUAUUUUUCAUUCUAUUUUCUAUUACUUUUGUGACUAGUUUGAAAAGGACAUUACAAAAACUAGUGGGUUGAUGCUUGCUGAUAUAUGUGGAAUUUUUGACCUAUGGAAUGAGAACAAUGACUAUGACAUUGAUAAAAACCUAGAUCUUUUUCGCUAUUAUAAAUCUAAAACACAAAAUUUGUACCCCUCCUGUGUGCCUGGGUCGGACACAUUUGAUUCAAAGCUUCUGCAACUUAAGGUAUGUAUAUUGACAAGAAAGAAACAUGCUAUGGUCCAUUGUAAUUCUGUUUCUAACAAGAGUUGAAGGAUCAUCACCCAUCAUGGUAGGUGAAGUUGAACUGAAGAGUUCUAUAAAAUAUGAGUUGAUCACCUCAGCUAUCUCCUCUUCCACAAAAUUUGAAUUUUUAAAUACUUUACACCAAACUCGUUCCAUUAUUAAACCUAAAUUCUAACUAGUGCCUAACAAUACUAUUAAAUACCUAAUCAUACCUCCAACACAUUAUAUUUAAUAUCUAACCAGUCAUCACUCUUCUCUUCAUUUCAUUCUCUCUCAAACCAAAAGAAACCAUGUCUUUCUGCAAAUGCUUCCAUUUUUUCAUCAUCAUUUUGCAAGUCUUUGCUGCAAUAGCCAUUUUCUCAUUAGCAGAUUCCUCCCUCACCCAAAACCAGCUCUUCACCAACUUCCUAGACACUGCCAAGAAGCCUGAGUUUUUUGAUUGGAUGGUCAAAAUCAGAAGGAAGAUACAUCAGUUUCCGGAAUUGCGGUACGAAGAAUUUGAGACCAGUAAAGUUAUAAGAACAGAAUUGGAUAAGUUGGGGAUCCCCUAUAAACACCCAGUUGCAGUCACUGGUGUUAUUGGCUUCAUAGGGACUGGAAAGUCACCUUUUGUUGCUAUAAGAGCUGAUAUGGAUGCUCUUCCCAUACAGGUAGGUUAGAUUCAUAAAUUGUAUAUACUUUUUUUUCUUGAUAUAUAUGCAAUAUGCUUGAAGCAGGGUUGACUUUUGAUUUCUGAAACUUUUAUGGGAUAACAAGAGCAUUGUUAUUUUUUCCUUUGCUCAAAUUUUAUUGACAUUUGACAAUGUAAAAACCCUAGGAAUUGGUGGAGUGGGAGCACAUGAGUCAAGUACCUGGAAAGAUGCAUGCAUGUGGUCAUGAUGCUCAUACUACCAUGCUUCUUGGUGCUGCAAAGAUUCUCAAACAGCAUGAACAAGAGAUAAAUGUGUGACUUUUAUACUGCCUUCUCUGUUUCCAUUUUCUUUCUAUUGUUCUGUAUACUGUUAUAUAUGUUCUGCUUUAUUUUUUAUUCGUUACUACUCUUCCGACAUGUGGUCACUCGCUCACUGGUCCUUACUGUGUGGGCAUGGUUUCUUACGUUUUUUCUCAUAAAACAAAAUAAAAAUUUGUUGCAUAAAUUCAAUUAUGUCAAAGCCAAGUAGUAUCUCUUCAGUUUCUGUCAAAGAAACAAAUUGCUGCCAAAUCAUUCAAUCAUGCCAACUUUUUUUAUAGUAAAUCACAAGCAUUCUAUCAUCUGUCAUACACAUCCUUAAUUAAUCUUCUUAGAUUUUCUUUUGACUAAAAUUUAGGGUAAGAGUAUGGUAUCCCAAUCCAAGAUAGGAACCGGACUUAAACAACACCUAGAGUAUACUUACAUUUACCACACCUCAAGUGGCCAAGUGGGGGCUUGAGACCUGUCACAUAUGAGACAUUGUCAUGCUUCACUCAACCAAUCCUUUGGGUUUACCUUUUUAUAGUUUAUGUUAGACCUAACUCUACUCCAGAAGUUAGUUAAAGUGAAGUUGCUCAACCCUUUAUCAGAGUACUUUGGUCAUAUCUCUAUUAAACAUGUAACAUCUCAACAAAUCUCCUCUUUCUAUUGUAAUACAAUCUAGAAGACACUAAAGAAGUUGCCCAGCUUAUCAUUCUACUAUACCAGGACAUUCAUCCAUGUCUGCCACAGUGCUACUUUUUCUCUCAAUUGCCUUAUUCUGCUCUCUUCACCCUAUCAUGUAUCCUUGAUAAAUUGGUUAUGUGCUGUCUAAACAGGGAACUGUUGUUCUUGUUUUCCAACCAGGAGAGGAAGGAGGUGCAGGGGCUAAGAAAAUUUUAGAAUCUGGAGCCUUGAAAAAUGUUUCUGCUAUCUUUGGAUUGCAUGUGUUACCUACUCUUCCAGUAGGUGAAGUGGCCUCUAGGUCUGGUCCUAUGAUGGCAGGAAAUGGUCGCUUUGAAGCAAUAAUAAAUGGAAAGGGAGGUCAUGCAGCUAUUCCUCAUACUUCUAUUGACCCGGUUUUGGCAGCUUCCAAUGUAGUUAUUAGCUUACAAUACCUUGUUUCUCGGGAGGCUGAUCCUUUGGACUCCCAGGUAAUUUUGGUUAAUUCUUCAUGUCCCCUUGUUUGCCAUGGUCACUCAUUUAAACUUAUUUUUGUAUGAUAUUCUGAACCCAUAACUAUGUAUGGAUAUCAGAAAGAACAAGUAAUAGGAAAAUAUUGGCAGAGCCUUAUGGAUAACAUUCAUCUGCUUCAUUCUGCCUAAAAUGACUUAUUAGCACUUUUUAACAGUAGAGGUAAUCUGAUACAGCCUUGUUUCUAAGAAUAUUACUACAUUCCAUUCAACAAACCAAGUGGUUAGCUGCCAGUGUUUUAAAUUGCGGUAGUGGUAGAGCAUCCAUGGUCCAUAUAGAGUGAGAACCAUUCUGUUAUUUGCAAGUCCAAACCUUUAUUAAUCCUUCUAAGUUUAUGGAUCACAAGGGAAAGGAUGGGAAAAAUGAGCUAAGAGUGGCGAGAAGCUUUUAGUAUACCAUCAGUGAAAAAGAUGAGAAAGAGAAAUCCAAUUACAAAACAAACUUUUACUGAUAACUGAGGAGUAUGGGAGCUAGACCCUUAGUGUGUGUGUGUGUGUGUGUGUGAACACUUACAUAUGUCAUAAUUAUUAUAUGUGAUAAUUCCUGAUUACUUAAAAACUUAAAGGCUUGUUUAUAACCAAAAUUCUCCUUGUCUUCCUUACAUUUUAUAGGUUGUGACGGUUGCAAAGUUUCAAGGAGGUGGUGCACUCAAUGUUAUUCCAGAUUAUGUCAUAAUUGGUGGAACCUUCAGAUCUUUUUCCACAGAAAGCUUGGAGUACCUGAGACAGCGCGUUGAGCAGGUAUGUCAUGGAGAGGAAUAGAUUCCUUCUACAUGCAUAAACUGAAAUUAAUGGUCUUUUCUAUAAUAUACACCAUCACCUUGCAAUAAUCUGUCCUUUUGUUCUCUAAUUUAUUUUGGUUGUUAAACCUGAUGGCUUGGUUAUGAUUGUGUUAAGCACUAUAGAGGAUGUGACAUCUAGAUUAAUUGGUUAUCUUUGAUAGGAUCAACUACAAGCUUCAUAUAGGGGUAGUCAAAGAAAACUUUGAGUGCCGCACUAAUAUCAUGUUUUUGUAUCUGAUUACUCUCAUGCAAAAAAUCUGGGAAUUUAUAACUGAGAGUAGAAGCAUAGCAUACACAAGCUACCGGAACUAUAUUCUGAGGCAAGGGCAGAACCAGAAAAAGUUGGAAGGGGAGGAAAUUUAACACGAUAAUGAUGAAUUAAAAGAGGCCACAGAAAAUAUUUUAGGGAGACAAAUAACGUUUGAAGACUAUUAAAUGAUUUCGUUCUCUUGGUAGGGGCUAAGGAUGGUUCAUUUACGCAGGUUAUCGUUGGACAAGCUGCUGUGCAGAGGUGCAAUGCAACUGUCAACUUCCUUGAUGAAGCGAGUCCUUCCUAUCCUCCAACUAUAAAUGAUGGUGGUUUGCACGAGCAGUUUCGUGAUGUUGCAGAGAAUUUGCUUGGCGCCAAUAAAGUCCACUUUGACAAGCCACCGGUCACGGCUUCUGAAGACUUUUCAUUCUAUCAAAAGGUGAUACCUGGCUACUUCUUUUUUCUUGGAAUGCAGAAGGCCUCAAAUGAUCACCGGGCUCACUUUGUGCACUCACCCUAUCUCGUGAUCAAUGAAGAAGGACUUCCUUAUGGGGCCGCACUUCACGCAUCACUAGCUGUUAAUUAUCUUGAAAAAUAUCUGCAAGAUGGACCCAUGGCGGAAGGGAAAUAUCGCGAUGAAUUAUAGAUGUUAUUAAUCAUUACAAACUUCCAGCCUAAGUUAGAAUUUCCACUUGUAUGAGUAUGAUAAUCUCUUGCUGUAAUCUUUCUUUUAUAAAAUAUUUUGAUAAUGUGAAUCACUUACUUAACUGGUUACUUCUCACUAACUAUAAUCUAUUUGUGCUGUUUAAUUUUCCGAAGCUCAUAUCAUAGAAAAAUGUUACUUUUUUUAUGAAUGUAUAAAGUAGACUCCAUUUCUUUUAUGUCUUAUGUGUUGGGUUAUAUAUUCCAAUUCUUUAAACUUCUAAAUUCUUGGCAGACGUUUUAGGAGCUUCAUUGUGCUAUUUACACUUGACAAAGCUUGGUUUAUUAAUCUGUUAAUUAGAUAAAUCCAUUUUAUCUGAAGUAUAAAGUACUUGAUAAUAUUUAUUUUGCUAGUAGUUUCUCUGUAUUCAGUUCCCGCAGACUUAAAGAACUAUAAGUGUGCUAAAUUAGAAGAAAUAAGUAGGAGUAUUUUGCAGUUUGUGGUGGUUACAACACCAGUAAAAUUUGAGUAUGAGUAUUGCUAAUACCUAAUGGUUUUUGUGGUGGUUAAUCAGGCCGUUUCAAACUGCCAGUACCGCCAUUCAACCAGUGGCGGUUGGUCAAAACUGCUGCAAAUUGAUCACCUGAGGCUGCUUUCUCCCAACCGCUGCAGUAUAUAUUUGCGGCGAGUGAAACCACCGCCGCAAGAUUUUUAUUAGUCUUUUCUAAUUUGCAGGUUUCAUUGAAGUGACGUGGCUGUUUCUUGUGUGGACUUAUUCCCCUUGCACAAACAUUUUCUUGACAAUAUGAUCGGCCAUAUUGAAGAUUUGUGUUGUGAGAAACAUAUUAAAUCCUUGGCAUAAUCUAAUGGUGGACGAAUCUGCACGAGCCAUUUUACCGUGAGUAUUCAACGCAUAAAUGUUGAUGUUGGGCGCACAUAUGACAAGACUGGAUGCACAUAUGCGCUCAUGUGUCACGUGAAGCAUCCCCAAUAUGAAAUUAGCUAGAACUUGUGCUACAAGCCUAGCAAGACUCGUAUGAAAUAUUAUAUUUGAAUAGCUCAACUGACCAAACUAUUAUCCGAUUAGUAAGAUCCAACUUAUAGAUUACCUGUCUAAUGGGUUAAUCCGUGUGAACCAUAAUCUUGCGGGUUUGAAUAUACUGCCUCAAUCUCCUUGCAAUUACAAUUAGGGUGAAAACUAUUUUUCUCAAUUUUUGAUAUAUGAUUUUUUGACCUUGCAACAUUUUGCUUACAAAGUAGACCACAGCCUUUUCCCCUCAUGAAUUUCUCAAAUUAGCAUGACAUUUACCGUCUCCUCAUUGAUCCCUAGGUAGAUGAUGCUUGGCCAGAAUUGAUGCUAACCCGGAUAACUUGCUUUUCCCUAUCAGCCUGCGGCGGCCUGCCUGUCACACUUUGAUGACUUUUUUACCUGGGUAGUGUAAAUUUGGAGUUUAUUUACCAAUCUAGUGCAACUUUUAAAAUAUUUACGAGACUAGCGUAAAUCGUCACUAGCAUCGGCGAUAUAUUUUUUUUUCUUCUCAGCUUUUGGAGAAAUCGCCAAUGGGACUGACGAUAUUCAAUUUUUUGUGGUAUCGUCAAUGCGGUUGGCGUUAAUAUUAUAUAUAUAUAUAUAAUAUAUAUUAAAAAAAAGAGUAUCGCCAUCAUGAGUGGCGAUUUUAAUCUUUUAUAAACAAUUUUUUUUGUUUUAAGCAACAACGCCAACACCAUUGGCGACUUCUUUUUAUUUUCAAUACUAAAAACAUAAAUAUAAUAGCCCUGAUUGCAUGCAUGGAUGUUUUUUUUUCUUACAUGCAUCCAUUUAAUAUAUAUUUAGGUUUUAAAACUAUUAAGUAUUAACUACGUCAAGGUGGAAAAAAAAACAGAAGGAAGCGAAUCCUAUAAGCAUUAAUGGUUUAAAAUUAAAAAUAACACCAACACUAACUGCGACACUUAAAGAAAAUAUAUAUAUAAUAUUUGGUUAACGCCAAUCUCAACGGCGAUACUAGAAAAAUAUAUAUAUGUCGCCACGGCUGUUGUCGAUUUAACUCAAAUGAAAAAUAUGAAAAAUAUAUAUAUAUAUAUAUAUAUAUAUAUAUAUCGCCGAUGCUAGUGGCGAUUUACACUACAUCCGUAAAUAUUUUAAAAGUUACACUAGAUUGGUAAAUAAACUCCAAAUUUACACUACUCAAGUAAAAAAGUCCACUUUGAUGAAGAAAAUUGCUUCGCCAGCUAACCGGGAUCACUGUGUCACGUAACGUGAGUGUAGUCUUUUUCUACUUUUAGUUUUUGUUUUCUUCUUUCCCCCUUCACAUAAUCUGACAUAUAACCAGUUGUUUUUAAUGCUUCCCACAUGUCGUUUUUUUUUGGUAGAUACAUGUCGUUGAACUUGAUAGCGCUCUGAGAAGUUGUUUUUUUAUGUCUAAAUUACUAAUAUUUAAAUUAAGGAAGUACAUGCGUGUAACACAUGGGUUUAAAAUACAAAAGUUCUGAUUUUUGAGUGCGUGUAAUUUUGAUGAGUUUAGACCGUCAAUCCACUAGAAUUUAAAGAUGCAUCACAUCAUAUCAAUCAAAUAAAUUAUUUUUGGCCUAAUUUUUUCAAAAUUCCCAAGGGCAACUUAUUAUUUUUUCAAACUCUUGAAAAAAACGUAGUAUUUAAUUUGACCAGCUUGUUUUUUUUUUAAGUUUUCGCAGCGUUUGGUUGAGAGUUUGAAAAUAAAUUCGAAGGAAUGAUAUAUUUUUUGAAAAGAGAUUUAUUUAUUUCUUUAAAAAAUAGAGAUUUAUUUAUUUAUUAGCCUAUGUGACAGGUCUUCUUAACAAAUGAAGCUCAUUUUCAUCUUAAGAACUAGUGGAAUUACCCGUGCCCUGCACGGGUGACUUUUGUUAUUUACAAUUUAAAUUUCAUGUAAUAUUAUGUUUUGUAUCUUUUUAGUAAAUAUACUUUAACAAUUGUUUCAACUAUAUGUUAUUAAUAGUGAUAAUUGUGUAUUAAUCUACCACAAUUUUUACUUAUUUAAAUAUGAAAAAAAUUAAAUAUUUUAAAUUAUAAGACUUAAAUUCACUCAAAUUUUUAUAUAUGCAUUAAAUCAGUAUUUUAAUUUUUUAAUACAUGUUUAAUUAUUAAUAUUUGAUUGAUUAUUUUCAAUAUCAAUGUUUCUAUUUAUAAUUGCAAUAACACUAAUAAUAAUAUAUAUAUUUUGAUUCAAAAUGUUUGGUGAAUGUGCAUUUCCUUAAGGGAUUUCACCUAGACUUCUGGCCCGGGUUCGAUCUCCUCUAAGGUAAAAUAUAAUACAUUUGUGGUUAGGGACAUCACUACCGUAUCCCGAGCCAGAUUACUCACGUUGGGCCCUUUUCCCCCGUGGUGACUGGUGGGCUUCUCUUAUUUUUGAAUAAACUCUCAUGUGACUAUUACUUUUAAGUUUGAACCCGUUCCCCUUUUUUGUCUUUGGCUCUUCGAUCGUACCUUUGGUAACCACCGCCUACCAGGGACGAUGGAGGAAAAAUUCAUUUUAUCAAUCCAAGCAGAUAAAUUGAAGGAUUUUCGUCUUUCCCCUUCAUGAUUUAAAAAAGUGGUGAAACAAUAUAUGAUGGUAAAUAAAAAAUGGAUGAAUAAGUAAUUAAUAGGAUCAUGAAAUAGGGGCUUCAUAACCGAACCAAACCAAUUAAAACCGCUCAAAUCGAUCAAAAAAACCAAAAACUGAAAAAACUGAAAACCGCAAAAAUCAAUAUUUUGCUAAUGGAUCGGAUUGGUUUUCAGUUCCAAUGUUCUAAAUUGAGCCGAUCCAAACCAAACCGAAAGUAUUUAUUUAUUUAAAUUUUGACAUACAUAAUUAGCCAUUUAACAAAACUUAUAAUAUUUUAUUCCAUGUAUACCCAAGCCUUUACAGUAAUGUGUUUAACAUUUUCCAAGUUAGGAGACAUAUGUCUUCUUUUCAUUCAGCGAAAGUGAAACAUAUCAUUGCGUACAUAAUUCAUUUCUUACAGUAUUGAUGUUAGUGUUAAGCAUGAUAUCUUGUCUCUGUAACUUUUACAGUGCUUCUUGUUUUAUGAUUUUAUUUUCUAUUUCGUUAUGUAUUUCAUGAUUUUUAGUUUCUUUGAAAAACUGAAAUCCAAUCCAAUCCAAACUGAUAAAAAUUGGAUCAGAUUUGAAAAAAAAAAGAUUGGGUGAUUAAAUUAUAAAACCGAAACGAUCGGAUCAGAUGAUUUUUUCCUUUAAAACCAAAUCGCGAUCACCCCUAUCAUGAAACAUGAAAUAAAUCAUUUUACACAACAAAUAAAAAUGAGUGAAUAAGAGGAUAAUGUAACCAAUAAUAAACUUAUAAUAUUGCGAAUUUGCGAUCAUAUAGUGGUGGGGGAGAAUUAAAAAAUAAAAAAUGGAAAUAAAACUCUGAAAACAUUAAAUCAAAAUAAGAUAAACACAAUGCCACAAAGAACGUGUGAAAGAGAAUGUUAUAGAUUAAAGAAAUAAUGUGAGAAAUGUCUCAAAAGAGAAAAUGAAUUCUCUAACCAAUGCACAUGUAUAGCAAAAUUAAUUAUUUUUGCAUUAAGAUAAAAUUAAAGCAUUACCUUGCACAUGAUUGAUAAAUUAUUUUUCUCUAUAGUUGUUUUAAAUGAAAGAAAAAUUGAAGGUGAAAGUUCCUUAACAUGAAAUUGAAUAAAGAAUUGAGAAACAGAAAAAUGAAAGGGAGGAAAGAGAGGAGUAUGAAAAAUAUGGAAGAAAGUUGAAAAUACUUACCAUGGAGUAGACGAACGGAGAAAAAAACAGGAUGGGCUUUUUUCAUAAGAAAUUUCAAAGAUGGGAGGAAGAAGUAUAAGAUGAAUAGGAAAUGGAGGAAAAUGAAAGUCCUUGCCUUGUUUUCGAGGAGGUAUGCACAAAAGGAUGCUGAAAUAUUUUGAUUUAUUAAUGUUUAAUUUUUUCCUAAAAUAAAAUACUCAUUAUUGGUCAAUGAAAAAUUAAUCAGAAAUUAAACAUAUCAACAAAAUUAUUUGUAUUAAAUGUUCUAAGGAUUCAUUAAUUAAAUUAUAUCAAAAUGUUAUAGAUUAAAUAAAUAAUGUGAGAAAUGUCUCAAAAGAGCAAAUGAAUUCUCUAACCAAUGCACAUGUAUAGCAAAAUUAAUUAUUUUUGCAUUAAGAUAAAAUUAAAGUAUUAUCUAGCACAUGAUUGAUAAAUUAUUUUUCUCUAUAAUUGUUUCAAAUGAAAGAAAAAUUGAAGGUGAAAGUUGCUUAACAUGAAAUUGAAUAAAGAAUUGAGAAACAGAAAAAUGAAAGGGAGGAAAGAGAGGAGUAUGAAAAAUAUGGAAGAAAGUUGAAAAUACUUACCAUGGAGCGGAGAGAAAAACAUGAUGAGUUUUUUUCAUAAGAAAUUCCAAAGAUGGGAGGAAGAAGUAUAAGUUGAAUAGGAAAUGGAGGAAAAUGAAAGUCCUCACCUUGUUUUCGAGGAGGUAUGCACAAAAUGAUGCUGAAAUAUUUUGAUUUAUUUAUGCUUAAUUUUUUCCGAAAAUAAAAUAUUCAUUAUCGGUCCAGGAAAAAUUAAUCAUAAACUAAACAUAUCAACAAAAUUAUUUGUAUUAAUGUUCUAAGGAUUCAUUAAUUAAAUUAUAUCAAUUUAAUUUCGAAAAUGUGGAAUAUUUCAUUUUAAAAAUUCAAUUCUUUAAUUAAUCUUGUCUAAUUUAAUUAAAUUUUUUUCGUUAUUUCUUACAAAUUAUUUCAUUGUUCCAAUAAAUUAUCAAUUCUUGAGCAUCAAGGUUUUUAAAAAUUGAAUUUCAAAAGACAAUUAAUUAAACUCAUUAAUUUUAGGAAUUAAUUAGAGCCAUUAAUUUCAAUUAUAAGAAAUAAAAAUUGUAGUAUCUAAAAUAGGAAUAUUUGUUCAAUUGCAAAAUUUUCGAAAAAUUCAAAAUAAAAAUAAAUGAUGCUGAAAGUUUUAAAAAAUAUAUUUAUUUUAGUUUCAAAAAUUUAUUUGCCAAGGAAAUUUGAAUUUCAAAAAAAAAUUUAAUUUAUCUUUUAAAAUCAUUUUAACCAUGAUAUUACAGAAAAACAAAUAAAUUAAUUUUAGAAAAAUAAAAAUUAAAAGAUCCAAUAUUUAUUUCUAUUUGAAAUAAUUACGAAUAUUUAUUAUAAUUAUUUAGCAUAUUAUUAAUUAAAAUAAAAGGAUUCGAAGUAUUUUUAUGAAUCGUAUAUAUCUUAAAAAAGAAUUUAAGGGAAAAUAAAAAUUGAAUUUUUUUAAUUAGAAUUGAUUAUUUUCAAAAAGUUUAAAUCUAAUAAUGAAUUUUUAAUAAUGAAUGAAAUGAAAUAGUUUAGAGAUGUUCAUGUAUUGUAUAAUGUUUUCGAAAAUAUGGAGGGGCAGAAAAUAAUAUUAUUUGGAAUUUAUAUCCUUACUUUGAUAGUUUUUAUAAGUAUUAAUUAUGUUUUAUUCUUAAAAAAUAUUUUACCUAUAUUAAACUUAGCAAUUAAUGUGACAAAAAAAAGUGGAAAUAUAUAUAUUUUUGUUUUGGAAGGAAAAUGAAUUACUUAUGAGACAUGUGGCACAGGUCUUCUAGAAGAAAACCUUCUUUUCAUAUAUAUAUAUAUAUAUAUAUUGAAAAAUUAAAAUAACAUUUACGUUGAAAAUUAAAUUAAUUUUAUUUACUGAUUUUUUAUUAUUUUUGUUCUAUUUUCGAAUUCAAUUUGUUUUAUUAUAUUAGAUAUAUUUUCAAAUAAAAUUCCUAGUGAAGGUUACAUAAAAAAUUGAAAUUAAAAAUCAAUAUUAUAUAUUGAAAAUCUGUACUUUCGUAACACAUGAAAAAUUAAAAUAAUAAUUACGUUGAAAAUUAAAUUAAAUAGUAUUUUUUCCGAUUUGAGAUUAUUUUUGUUUUAUUUUCGAAUUUAAUUUUUUUUCUUAUCAUAUUUGAUCUGUUUUCAAAUAUAAUUCGAAGUAAAGGUUAUAUAAAAAAUCGAAAUUAAAUAUUAAAUAUUAAAAAAUUAAAACAUUAAUUGCAGUGAUAAUUAAAUUAAAAAGGAUUUAGAAUAUUUUUGAACUUCUAAAUAAAGGUUACAUAAAAAUUGGAAUUACAUUAAAUGAUAUUAAAUAGUGUGAGUCAUGAUAGUGUGUUGUGACAAAAAAGUAGAAUGAGUUUUUUUUUCUUGGAGGGAAAUUGGAAGAAUUUGGGGGUGACAUGUGGCAUAGGCUUCUAGAAGGAAACAUUAUUUUCAUAUAUAUAUAUAGAUUGGGGGUUUGAAUUACGUUGAAAAAAGAAAGAAUUGAUUUUAUAUUUGUAUGUUUUUAUUUGAUUGGUGGGGUGUUAAUCAGUAUAGUAAGUGAAUAAUUAUGAACUGGACGCCGGCGCGAUGGCAGCGGCCGGUGAGACAAGCGGGGAAUAAUUAUGAACUGGGUCAAGGUUGGCGGCAGCCUUAUUAUUCAUGGGGAACCAACAUUGACCGAUGGCAUAACAAUCAAACAGAUAAGGGAGGAUUUCGAGCAAGACAGUGGCAACAUGAAGGUGGCAGAUCAGAGAGGUACAAGUCGAAAUGGAAACAGACAUUGUAUGAGAACAAGGGUGAUCCAAGGACCACACAUCCAGGGCACGAAUCUGAGCAACAAAACAGCGAACCCGUAAACAAUGCAUCACAACGAUUCAAGCCACAACAUAUAUCCUUUUCAGUUUUUGUGGAUGGCCUGGGAGACAGGAUGACGUAUCAGAAAUUGCAGACCACUUUUGCGAAGGCUGGGAAACUCCAUUCUGUAUUCAUUCAGCAGAAGAAGAAAUAUCAUCGACGCUUUCGUUUUGGCUUCUUGCGAUUCAACAGCGACGAUGAGGCAUGGAAGGCGAUUCAGAUGUUCCAUGGUCAGAGAUUAGAUGGAAAUUACCUUGUGGUCCAGAAAGCAAAUAUACAACGCCCGCCACGAUCGCCUGGGGUGCCUUCAUCAGGAAAUAAUAAGGUUGAAACCAAAAGGAAAAUUUGGAGACCGAAAGCAAAGCAACAUGACACAGUUCAAGAGCCUCUCCAAAUAAAUAAGGAUGUUUCUGGGCAGAUGCAAGGUGCUGUUAAGCAACCUACUGAAUGUCAGCUGCGUCUUGUUGGCGCUGAUUUAGAUGUAGAAUGGGUCAAUAGGUGUGCAAAGGCACGCACUCUGCUGUCUAUGCCUGUGGAAAUUUUACAGGAGCAAUUCAGGCAAAUUGGUUUGUUUAAUUUUCGACUGAUUCCAUUGGGUGCAGAUGCAGUUAUUCUGGAAUUUGAAACUAAGGAAGACAUGGAGGAGACAAUUGCAGAGUGCAGUUUCUUUUUAGAGCAGAAGUUAUACGAUGUACAGCCUUGUACUGUGCUUUCAUUUGGCGUGGCUCAGCUUGUAUGGAUUCGUAUGUGGCAGGUUCCGUUGGGAUUAUGGACUGAAUCCUUUUUCACCUCUGUUGGGAACAGGCUAGGGACAUAUGUAAUGUCUGAUACUGCCACUCUGUUACACCACAGAGCUGACUUUGCACGAAUUUUGGUUCGGAUGCAUCAUCCAAUUUUGCACAGUUUUACCAUGGCGGUUGAUGUUAAUGGUACAACCUGUAUUGUUUUGGUUGAGAAGGACCCGACAGUAUAUGAUUAUGGGGUUGUAGAAGCUAUGCCAUCGACACCGGUCAAAAUCUACAACUCAGAGGAUGAAGAAUGCAAUGAUGAAAGCAGCAUGGAUGAGAAGGAACGGGAAGCAGAUAUGGUUUUCACUGGUGCAUCAAAACCUGAUGCAAAUGACUAUGAAUCAGUGGUUGAUGUAGGGACCGAUGAAGAGGAUGAAGCAUUCAGGGAUGGUGCUGCAGAGGGUUUGCAGGUUUGGGUGGAGGAGCAUGUCCAAGCGCAGCCAAUUGUUUGUGUGGAGGAGCGCAAUUCCUUGACGGCGGAGGGAGAGGUGCCGCAGAUUCAAGGAUUUUCAAAUUCAAACAGCAAGGCAAAAAUUCAAACGGAGACAGCUACUAUUUCACGUGAGAAGCGUGAGGAACAGUUACAGGUGCUGGUUGAAUCAAGAUACACGUUACAGGAGAUUAAUAUGUGGAGAAAUAAUUUAAAAACAGAAGAUAUCUGUUUAAAUGCUAGCCAAAUCUUAGCUAAUUCGGUUCAAAAUAAGGAGAAGGGAUUUUCAGUUACAGGAUAUUCCUUUGAUACUCAAGAUUUGAACCAGAAAUUAGUUUUUGAUUGUUCUCUUAAUUCUUUAAAGCGGGACCCGUGUGUGUUUACUCAAAUUAAAAGGGUUGAGCCAUGUUUGCCUUUCAUGACAACUAAAGAAAACGGGUUUUAUGGCCUAGCAGCAACUUCUGCAAAUUCUCCAGCUUCUGAGGCACGUGGAAUAACUGAUAUCUUUGUACGUAAAACACCUCAUCAGAUAAUCAGGCAGCGAGCAAAUCCUCAAGCAACAGCACGCCUUGCUUCUUCUCCUCAAACGCACUCUCCACCGUGCUUCCCCAUCACGCAUCAGGUUGGUCCAUUUGCUGUUAACGCCUCUGUGACUCCGAUACAGGCAGAAACACCAACAACAAAUUCCUCCAAAAAGAGUUCUCAGCGGGGACGUCCAAAGGGGAGUAAAAAUAAACCGAUAGCUCUCCCAGUUGAUUUCUUAGAGCCAGUGCAGGGUGAAGACGGGGUGACAACUCGAGCUCAGAGAACCUGGUUACUUGGUAAACAAUUGGGGCUGAAACCGCGAGGAUCAGAAGCUUUGAUGCUUCGUGGUUUAGAGGCUCAGAUUCGUCAAAAUCAUCCCCAUCUCAUUUAAUAUGUCGGGGUCGUGGUUGACUUGGAACGUUCGUGGGCUUGGAGAUAGAACAAAAAGAGAGGCAGUCAAAAAGGCAGUGAUGCAAUUGAAACCAGAACUUGUGUUGUUACAGGAGACUAAAUUAAAUGAACAAAGGCAGCGUACAUUAGCUUCUUGGUCUCAAAGCUUGAAUAUGCAGCAUGCUGAAUCUUCCUCUGUUGGCUCAGCGGGGGGACUGAUGUGUUUGUGGCGGGAGAGUUAUCUGCAGGUCUUGUCAGUGGCAGUUGAAACAUGGUUUAUUCUUAUGACUGUGAAACUUCCUAAUCUUGAUAAUACAGUAUUGGUAGGAAAUGUCUAUGGCCCUCAUUCCGAGGCGGAACACAGAUAAUGUUUUGAGGCUCUUAUGCAACGUGUUAUGCGCCAUGGUGGUUUGGUGUGUCUUGGAGGUGAUUUUAAUGUAGUUCUGCUUGGAUCUGAACGGUCUUCAAGAGGUGUUUUAGAUGCGGGAGAUUUAUCCUUCCAACAGUUUGUGCAGGAUAGUAACUUACUGGAUUUGCCUCUGACCAAUGGAGAGUAUACUUGGUUCUCAAGCCGCAAUGAGGGGCUGUGUCUCGCCUGGAUCGUUGGCUGUUGUCUGAAGAGGUUAUGAGAAACGUUUUGGGGCUGCUGCAUAUUUUUCCAGCUGCUGUUUUGCUGAGAUAUCGAAAUUUGCUAAUUGCUGUUAGGAGCUUGCUGUUUUUAUUGUUGAUGUAUGCUGGUGCUGAUGUUAAUUUUGUCGUUGAUGUUGCUGCUGUUGAUGAUAUCGCUGUUGUUGUCGUUGCUGUUUGCUGCUGAUGUUAUUGCUGUCUUAGUUGCUGUUGCUGAUUUCUGUUUUGCUGCUGCUAUUACUGGUAUUUCUGUUGCUGUCGUUGCUAUGUUGUUGCUGCUGUUGCUGUCAUGUUUUCUCUGCUGUCGUAGAUAUCUAUUCUGCUGCUGUUGUUGCUGAUAUUGCUGUUGCUGUCGUUGCUAUGUUGUUGCUGACGGUGCUAUCCUAUCAUUGAUGUUUUUCCUUGCUGUCUUGCUGAUGCAAACCGCUCCUGUUUGGUUUAUGUGAUUUUGCUGUUUGGUUUUGGAGUUUGUUUUAUUGAUGACUAUUUCAAGUCUGCUACUCUGCAAAGGAAUAUCUACAGCGUCAGCAUUAAAUUCGAGCUUGUUAAUUAGUUUUGGUUUAGUUGCAGUUUGGUUUUCCCAUGUUGGUGGUACUCUUUUUCCUUGUUAGGUUUUUAUCCCAUUGGGUUUUUCCUAGCAAGGUUUUAAUGAGGCUCCUUCUUGGGAUUCUGUUAUAUGCCAUUCUGUGGGUUGGUGGUGGGUUUGUGCACUUUCAAUUUGCACCUUUGCUAUUGUAAUGAUCUUUCUUGGACAUCUUGUACUUCCUUCAAUCUUGGGUCAUAUUUUAGGCUCAGGCUUUAUUAUUAAUAAUAUACAUUUCGCUUUCAAAAAAAAAAAGUAAGUGAAUGAUUUUACUUUUUAAGGAUUUUAUUAUUUUAAUAGUUUUUUCAAUUUUCAAAUAAUUUUUUUUAUUUUAUAAUAGGACUUAUAUUUUGGUUUUCUAUUAAAAUAUUAAAUAAUAAAAAAAUAUUUUAGUUAAAUAAGUUGAAACAAGUACUUUUUAAAACCCAUGUAUGAGAAUUAACGCUAAUACCCUACUCGGAGCCUGCACACUUGAAUGGUAUGUUUGGCUUGGAGAGAAAGGGAGAGGAAAGAAAAGUGGAAGGAAAGAAAGAAAGAGAAAUGAGAGGAUUUUUAAAGUUGUUUAGUUGGAGAGAAGGUGAAAAGAAAAGUGGAAGAAAAGAAAAAGUUGUACUUAUAAAAUAACAUAAAUAUCCUUAGAUAAAAAGAAAUACAAUAACUAACUAUUUUAUUAAAAAAAGUAUUUUUAUACCUGUAUUACGAUUUUAAGUUUAUUUUUAAUCUUUGCAAUAAAAAAGGUUGAUUUUAAUUUUUUUAAGUAAAAUAUUUUCGAACUAUAGAAUUUAAAAAAUGACGGAAAUCUAUUACUAUACAUAAACUAAUCAAAAUGAAAAAUAAUUGGUGAACACCUAAUAAUAACAAAUGCCCACACAACUCAUGGUUUGUGAGGGAUUAGAAACCGCCACAAAUUAGUUUUUAACCCUACAAACUAAGGGAGGGUCUUUGUGUGUUUACUAUUUGGGUGUUCAUGGUCAGGGCCGGCCCUGGGCCUGUGCAAGCAGGCCCACAGCCUAGGGCCUCCAAAAUGAGGGUGCCUCAAAAAAAAAAUUGAAUACCUUUUACAGUGUUUUUCUUUAAGAAAGCGCUGUAAAUAGUCCGUCUUUUACAGCACUUCGAACCGCUGUAUACUAUUUUACAGCGGCUAGAGGUCCGAAGCGCUGUAAAAAGCGUUUUUUAAGUUUAAUGUACCUAUUAAACUUUCUCCAAAAAAAAAUUUAGGGGUCCAUUUUUAUUAUUAACACAGGGCCUCCAAAAUGUCGGGACCGGCCCUAUUCAUGGUUAACUAAUCAUUUUUGAAUCAAAAUAAAUAAAAUUAUUUUUAGAAAGAAUAAAAUAAAAUUAUUGGAACAUAAGGCACACGUGUUUUUCAAUGUGUAGCUCCUUUUCUUUCCAUUUUGAGCGGAAGCAUUUUGGGGUGGGACCCACUUUAUUUUUUCUUUCUUUCCUAUUUUGUAAAAAAACAAAACAAUACAAAAUUGGAAAGAGGCCCGAAGAUAACUCCUAGCGGACACCGAAGAUAUGGAAUAUCUAACGAGGCCCGUAGAGUGGGACCUACCCCUCUUCUAUUUAAGAAAGUUGUUUGCCUUAAACUCUUCAUUGUGGUUUUUGAUUCCUUCACUUCAUUCUAUCUCACACCAAAAGAAACCAUGUCUUCCUUCAAAUGCUUCCAUUUCUUCAUCAUCAUUUUGCAAGUCUUUGCUGCAAUACCCAUUUUCUCACUAGCAGAUUCCUCCCUCACCCAAAAUCAGCUCUUCACCAGUUUCCUAGACACUGCCAAGAAACCUGAGCUUUUUGAUUGGAUGCUCACUAUCAGAAGGAAGAUACAUCAGUUUCCUGAAUUGCUCUAUGAAGAAUUUCAGACCAGUGAACUCAUAAGAACAGAAUUGGAUAAUUUGGGCAUCCCCUAUAAGCACCCAGUUGCAGUCACUGGUGUCAUUGGCUUCAUAGGGACUGGAAAUCCACCUUUUGUUGCCUUAAGAGCUGAUAUUGAUGCUCUUCCCAUGCAG
rnacentral:lncRNA from 1 species